rnacentral:rRNA from 1 species
CAGGGAAUCUUGCGCAAUGGGCGAAAGCCUGACGCAGCGACACCGCGUGAGGGAAGAAGGCCUUCGGGUUGUAAACCUCUUUUAUCAGGGACGAGUAAGGACGGUACCUGAAGAAUAAGGAUCGGCUAACUACGUGCCAGCAGCCGCGGUAAUACGUAGGAUCCGAGCGUUGUCCGGAUUUACUGGGCGUAAAGGGUGCGUAGGCGGCUUGUCAAGUCUUAUGUGAAAUCUCCCGGCUCAACUGGGAGGGGUCAUAGGAAACUGAUGAGCUUGAGGGCAGUAGAGGGAAGCGGAAUUCCGAGAGUAGUGGUGAAAUGCGUAGAUACUCGGAGGAACACCAGUGGCGAAGGCGGCUUCCUGGACUGUACCUGACGCUGAGGCACGAAAGCGUGGGUAGCAAACCGGAUUAGAUACCCCCGUAGUCC